GAUGAACGCUGGCGGCGUGCCUAAUACAUGCAAGUCGAGCGAAUGGAUUAAGAGCUUGCUCUUAUGAAGUUAGCGGCGGACGGGUGAGUAACACGUGGGUAACCUGCCCAUAAGACUGGGAUAACUCCGGGAAACCGGGGCUAAUACCGGAUAACAUUUUGAACCGCAUGGUUCGAAAUUGAAAGGCGGCUUCGGCUGUCACUUAUGGAUGGACCCGCGUCGCAUUAGCUAGUUGGUGAGGUAACGGCUCACCAAGGCAAAGAUGCGUAGCCGACCUGAGAGGGUGAUCGGCCACACUGGGACUGAGACACGGCCCAGACUCCUACGGGAGGCAGCAGUAGGGAAUCUUCCGCAAUGGACGAAAGUCUGACGGAGCAACGCCGCGUGAGUGAUGAAGGCUUUCGGGUCGUAAAACUCUGUUGUUAGGGAAGAACAAGUGCUAGUUGAAUAUGCUGGCACCUUGACGGUACCUAACCAGAAAGCCACGGCUAACUGCGUGCCAGCCGCCGCUGUAA
rnacentral:rRNA from 1 species